rnacentral:rRNA from 1 species
AUUGAACGCUGGCGGCAGGCCUAAUACAUGCAAGUCGAACGAGUGGCGGACGGGUGAGUAAUGUCUGGGAAACUGCCUGAUGGAGGGGGAUAACUAUUGGAAAUGGUAGCUAAUACCGCAUACCAUUAGCUGUGCCCAGAUGGGUAUAGCUUGUCGGUGGGGUAACGGCUCACCAAGGCGACGAUCCCUAGCUGGUCUGAGAGGAUGACCGGCCACACGGGAACUGAGACACUGUCCCGACUCCUACGGGAGGCAGCAGUGGGGAAUAGUGCACAAUGGGCGCAAGCCUGAUGCAGACAUGCCGCGUGAAUGAAGAAGGCCUUCGGGUUGUAAAGUACUUUCAGCGGGGAGGCGUUACCCGCAGAAGAAGCACCGGCUAACUCCGUGCCAGCAGCCGCGGUAAUAC